CGGCGGACGGGUGAGUAAUGCCUAGGAAUCUGCCUGGUAGUGGGGGACAACGUUUCGAAAGGAACGCUAAUACCGCAUACGUCCUACGGGAGAAAGCAGGGGACCUUCGGGCCUUGCGCUAUCAGAUGAGCCUAGGUCGGAUUAGCUAGUUGGUGAGGUAAUGGCUCACCAAGGCGACUAUCCGUAACUGGCCUGAGAGGAUGAUCAGUCACACUGGAACUGAUACACGGUCCAGACUCCUACGGGAGGCAGCAGGC
rnacentral:rRNA from 1 species